rnacentral:rRNA from 1 species
GAGCUACUUACUAAAAAUCGUAACAAGGUCUCCGUUGGUGAACCAGCGGAGGGAUCAUUA